AGAGACAAGUAAUUCUUUAUGCAUGCCAUUGUUGCUGUUAUUAUCCAAGAUGUGAUCUUGUGUGGUUGAUAAUACUGACUAGAUAUGAAUACUGGUAAGUACCAGCCAAUCACAAAUCUAUAGUGUCUAUUU
rnacentral:lncRNA from 1 species